rnacentral:rRNA from 1 species
UUUCCUACGGGGCGCAGCAGUGGGGAAUAUUGGACAAUGGGGGGAACCCUGAUCCAGCGACGCCGCGUGAGUGAAGAAGUAUUUCGGUAUGUAAAGCUCUAUCAGCAGGGAAGAAAGAAAUGACGGUACCUGACUAAGAAGCCCCGGCUAACUACGUGCCAGCAGCCGCGGUAAUACGUAGGGGGCAAGCGUUAUCCGGAUUUACUGGGUGUAAAGGGAGCGUAGGCGGUUUAGCAAGUCAGAAGUGAAAGCCCGGGGCUCAACUCCGGGACUGCUUUUGAAACUGUUGAACUAGAUUGCAGGAG